UACGUAGGGGGCUAGCGUUGUCCGGAAUCAUUGGGCGUAAAGAGCGUGUAGGCGGUCCGGUAAGUCCGCUGUGAAAGUCGGGGGCUCAACCCUCGAAUGCCGGUGGAUACUGUCGGGCUAGAGUACGGAAGAGGCGAGUGGAAUUCCUGGUGUAGCGGUGAAAUGCGCAGAUAUCAGGAGGAACACCAAUUGCGAAGGCAGCUCGCUGGGACGUUACUGACGCUGAGACGCGAAAGCGUGGGGAGCGAACAGG
rnacentral:rRNA from 1 species